UGGGGAAUAUUGGGCAAUGGGCGCAAGCCUGACCCAGCAACGCCGCGUGAAGGAAGAAGGCUUUCGGGUUGUAAACUUCUUUUCUAAGGGACGAAGGAAGUGACGGUACCUUAGGAAUAAGCCACGGCUAACUACGUGCCAGCAGCCGCGGUAAUACGUAGGUGGCAAGCGUUAUCCGGAUUUACUGGGUGUAAAGGGCGUGUAGGCGGGGAAGCAAGUCAGAUGUGAAAACCACGGGCUCAACCUGUGGCCUGCAUUUGAAACUGUUUUCUUGAGUACUGGAGAGGCAGACGGAAUUCCUAGUGUAGCGGUGAAAUGCGUAGAUAUUAGGAGGAACACCAGUGGCGAAGGCGGUCUGCUGGACAGCAACUGACGCUGAGGCGCGAAAGCGUGGGGAGCAAACAGGAUUAGAUACC
rnacentral:rRNA from 1 species